rnacentral:tRNA from 1 species
GGGUGUAUAGCUCAAGUGGUAGAGCGCAUGCUCAGCACGCAUGAGGUCCUGGGUUCAACCCCUGGUACCUCCU